rnacentral:rRNA from 1 species
UACGUAGGGUGCAAGCGUUGUCCGGAAUUAUUGGGCGUAAAGAGCUCGUAGGCGGUUUGUCGCGUCUGCCGUGAAAGUCCGGGGCUCAACUCCGGAUCUGCGGUGGGUACGGGCAGACUAGAGUGAUGUAGGGGAGACUGGAAUUCCUGGUGUAGCGGUGAAAUGCGCAGAUAUCAGGAGGAACACCGGUGGCGAAGGCGGGUCUCUGGGCCGAUACUGACGCUGAGGAGCGAAAGCGUGGGGAGCGAACAGG